UGGGGGGAGUAUUGCACAAUGGGGGAAACCCGUAGAUGCAGCAACGCCGCGUGAAGGAAGAAGGUCUUCGGAUUGUAAACUUUUGUCCUUGGUGAAGAUAAUGACGGUAGCCAAGGAGGAAGCUCCGGCUAACUACGUGCCAGCAGCCGCGGUAAUACGUAGGGAGCGAGCGUUGUCCGGAUUUACUGGGUGUAAAGGGUGCGUAGGCGGAAGAGCAAGUCAGUAGUGAAAUCCAUGGGCUUAACCCGUGAACUGCUAUUGAAACUGUUCUUCUUGAGUGAAGUAGAGGUAGGCGGAAUUCCCGGUGUAGCGGUGAAAUGCGUAGAGAUCGGGAGGAACACCAGUGGCGAAGGCGGCUUGCUGGACGACAACUGACGCUGAGGCGCGAAAGCGUGGGGAGCAAACAGGGAUUAGAUA
rnacentral:rRNA from 1 species